CGCUAUGUUCUGUAUGCGCAGAAUCACCUAAGGUUUAAGGCAGCAUGGCGUCAACAUUGUGUUUCUUAAGCUGCCUAUUUCUGCUCGUGACCUUUUGUGUCCUCGCUCCAGCGACACCGACUGUGCCAAACCACCAUGAUUGGGAGGUUAAGAUAGUUCUCAUCGAGGACGGAAUGAAUCAACACCCCGGAACUAGCGUGCAUUCGAAAGAAGCAUACUACCAGGAGGUGUUUCUAUCCGUUUCCCGACGCCUCCAACUGCUUCGUGCCGGAACAUUCUAUUUCGUGAGAAAAGGAUUCUUAACGUUAUCACAUGAAGAUAGCCAAGCUCUGUUUCUGAGAACUGGGAGGCCAGCGAAUAUAAAUGAAGUAUAUCUCGAAUGGAAGUCAACCUUAGCUAACAAGUAUAGAAGACAUACAGCUGGCAAAGAUUUGGUUAUCUUGAUAACGAGGAUGGGCAUAGAUGUAGACGGCGUAGGCGCUGCUUGCUCCUGUCGGAGUGAUGAAGGACACCUCAUGGGAACAGACCUCCACCUCCCUUUGACUUUCUCGGACUGCACAAUGCGUCAGCUGCCAGAGGCAAUAAGGAAGCUGACAUGUCUAAGGAAGGUUGCUUCUUCAAAAUCAGCCAAGACUCUUCCAAUACCUCCGUUUAUUUCAAGACUGGCAUAUUGUUCAGCAUUGAGCUUAGGACACUGUGACGAAAAGUUUUGCUUCGUUUUCUGCUGCAGAGGCUUUGGGCCUCUUAACAAGAUGGUCGCACCUGAUGGCCUACAGUGCGGUAAAGAUGUCACUGGUAUCGUG